rnacentral:misc_RNA from 1 species
UUUGGCUGACUGAAAAUUGAGGUUUGAGCUCAUACAAUGGGGAUGAUUUAUGAACUUGAGAUUGUGUGCAAGGCUGAUCUAGGGUGGCAGACAGAUAAAACAACUUUGGAAUUUGACUAUCAAGACUGCAACAGAAAUCCUAAUUUUCAGUUUGGCUUUAUCUUACCUGAAAAAACUUUUUUGCCAUACAUAGUAUGUCUAUGAAUGCAAAUCCCAAAGGUCGAGGUUGGAGAUGAUAGAUCAAAGUUUUGUUGACAUUGAUUUCAUGGGAUCUUCCAAAUUAAUCUAUG